rnacentral:lncRNA from 1 species
CUGCAGCCCUGAGAUGAGAGGUAGGAGGCCGAGGCUUCCUGCAGGUCAGCUUGCCCCCUCCUUGCUGCAGAUGCACAGCAGAUGGCCAGCGUCCCCAUCCAGCACAUCCACACCACAGAGCUUCUGGGGGAAGCCUCCGAGAGAGGAGGCUCCCACACAACCCGAAAGACUGUGAAGCGAAACAGGCUCCCAAGGCUGGCAGAAGUGCAGCUGGCCCCAGGAUGGCACCCAGGAGCACGGUGCUCACCAGAACCCUGGGUUGUCUUCAGCAAACCUGCCACCUCCUCCCAGGGCCACAGUCACCGCCUUAGACCACGCCCUCUGUCCAGCAUGGUGGCAGAUGGUGACAUGGAGCUGACAAACCCUCUUGCUCUUGCUGGUUCCCUGGGAGAACUCACUUCCUGCCUCUCAGACCUGGGCAAUAAAAGCCAGCUUCCAGGGACGUCYACCUGCUCUCUCCUUCCUGUCCUCCAGUCCCGGGUCUUCGGGGAGCUGGGAGUUACACCCCAUUGGAAGGCUCCUGCUGAAUACCCUCACCCCACUGUGCUGAGCGACAAGUGCAGAGAUCCAUCCCUGCCACUGUGCUUAAAUCCUACCAGAUUUCUUGCCAGGCC